UAAAUCAUAACAAUACAUUCUCUCUACUUUUCUUUCCAAUUCUGUGAGUCAGAGAAAAUUGGAAUUUUCUAUAACCUUCAAAUCUGACAAUAUUUGUAAUAAUACUCACAAACGAGAAGUAUGGUUGAAAAUCUUGAAUCGGAGUUCCAAUUGAUUUUAAAUCUCAUCGAUAAAUACACUUUAUUUCAAAUCUUGAAUCGGAGUUCAAAUUGGAAUUUUCUGCAACCAUGAAAUCUGGCAAUAUUUUAUUUUGUUUUAUUUUAUUUCUAGUUUUUGGUCGUGGUUGCUCACUUUCACACAAUGUGGAAUGGGGUUUUUGGUGUAGGUUUGAUGGUUGUGGUGGCAGUUGGUUUUGUGGCUGUGGCUGGUCGGCGGGAGUUAGUGUCGCCAUUGCUGGUUUUGGGCGGCGAAUUUGGGCAGUGGGGGGGAGUGGGGUGGGGUUCCAUCUUCUGUAGGUUAGUUUAGGUUGGGUGGGGGUUCGGGGUGAGAUGAGGAAGAAGAUGAUUUUUUUUAAGGUGGUCAAAUUUACCUUUAUACCCUUUUAAGUUGGUCAAAAAUUGGUCAAAAUUCAAUUUUAUUGGUCAACUAACGGUCAAACAGAUGGAAACCGUCCAUUUGGAUCCCAUGUUCAUAUCUUUGAAAGGUUUGGGACUGUGGUUGGCACAAACUAAAGGUUUGGGUAAAGUCUGCUAAUAAACGAAAGGUUUGGUACCUCGGCUGCAAUUUUCCCUAUUUUAAACAAGGGAUACUUUCGUCAUUUGACCCUUCGAAGGUAACAAAAACUAUAGAAGAAAACAGGGGAAAGAAGCGUAAAUGUUUAAGACCAAAA
rnacentral:lncRNA from 1 species